GUGACUCGAAGUCAGCCUGCUCAGCAAGCACAUGGAAUAACGCAUACCAAGCAGAGGCACAAAAGGAGACUGGAAAGCAAGCCAGUCUGCCCUCCCCGUUAGACGGUAAACUCCGUGAGGGUGGGGCCGCGUCUGCCCCACUCAACGCCGUGUCCCCAGCACCCGGCACAACGUCUGGCACCUGACACACUCGCAGUAAAUACGGGCGGGAUGAGACCGUUAGAAUGGCCGGCAUGAUCAUGACUUCACCUAAGGCAGCAGCAGCAAAACUGAGCAAAGGGGAUUACCACCCCCCGAAGCGGACAGAAUCCGUUCCAACCGCGCUGAGCUGACUACACGACUAGCUGUAUGGCCCAUCAACAACCCUUCACCCACCACACCCUCAGUCUUCCCUUCAGUAAAGUCAAGACCGUCACCCCCGCAGCUGGGCAGAACGAAUGUCCUCCGAGGCAGAAACAACAAGGCUUGGGCUAGGGCCGACGGUCGUGGUGGCCCCAAAGAGGCCAGCCGGGAGUCGAGAACACCGGUACGAACAGCUGAUGACGCUCCCGGGGGGCGGAAGUCAGUGCCCGAAGGAAGUCCAAACAUAAAAUGGAUCCCCCGUAUGCGCAGCGCCAUGGUUCAGUGUACCCUCAUAAAGCGUCCGGCUGUGUAGGACGUCACCCUGAUCUUCUACCCUGGCUUCUGCAGCAGCCAAACCGAACCACUCCAGUUGCUUCAGAUCUUUCGUGAAUAAGCCAUUAAUCGUUAUUGGGACGCCUCAUCUUUGGGAACCUUUUCCACUACCUGUUCUCACUCUACCACCUUGUCCUCACCCGUGACCGUGUCGCUUCAGAAACAUGAUGUAGGGAGACUACAUCCCCUGACCUCUCAGAGGCCCCCACUGUGCUGCACCUUACAGACAAAAUCCCGUGGAGACUGGGUUCCUGCUGUCACACAGGCCAUUACGCAGAUUUUGGAUGCCAAGGUGGAAGCCACACACAGCCCGAAACUUCUCAGGAAGUGUUCUGCCAAGCACUGAGAGAGCGAGCACAAACAGAGGGAGAAGCAGGCAGAGGGAGAGGGAGGAGCAGGCUCCCCGCCGAGCAGGGAGCCCAACGCGGGGCUCGAUCCCAGCAUCCUGGAUCAUGACCCGAGCCAAAGGCAGCCGCUUAAAGACUGAGCCACCCAGGCACCCCUAUAAUGUCAACUUUUAUUGAACUUUUAUUGUGUAUACUUUAAAAGGUCAACCAGGAGUGCAAGGUUUAAAAAAAACAGUCUUCUGUACCUUCCUUCACCUCCCUCUCCCAAUUCCUGUUCCCUCUCUGUCCAUGUUUCUGAACAAUAAGCAUACAGUGCUACUUAAGUGACAUAUUUCAUUCUAAGAUAUAAAUGAUAGUGAAUAGCCAUCACCCACCUUAAGAAAUAAAGCAUUAUAUUUAUAGUUGAAGCUCUGUGUUACCCUCCCUGAUUUCAUUCCCCCCUGCCAAAGCAAAACCAUGCAUGGUUUUUAUUAGUGUUUAUUAUUCCCAUACAUAUCUUUUUAUACUUUUAUUAGAUAUAUCUAUAUUCCCAGAUAUAUUGUCUUUUCAUGUUUUUAAGUUUUAUAAAAAUGGCACAACGCUUCCUAAAACUUUUUUUCUUAAGAUUAUGUUUUUGAAAAUCGUUCACAAUAACACGCAUAGCUGUGCUUCAUUAAUUUCCUCUGAUGUACAUUGGCUCAUUAUUUGAAUAUACCUAAAUUUAUUUACUCAUUCUCUUGUUGAUAGAAAUUUAGAUUGUUUCCCGUUUUUAUUAUUACAAUGUUGCAAUGAACGUUCUUUUUUUUUUUUAAGAUUUUAUUUAUUUAUUUAUUUGAGAGAGAGAAAAUGAGAGAGAGCACAUGAGAGAGGGGAGGGUCAGAGGAAGCAGACUCCCCGCCGAGCAGGGAGCCCGAUGCGGGACUCGAUCCAGGGACUCCAGGACCAUGACCUGAGCAGAAGGCAGCCGCCCAACCAACUGAGCCACCCAGGCGCCCUGCAAUGAACGUUCUUAUAAAUGUCUCCUCAAACACAAGUGUGGGAACCUAGGAUAUAUACCCAUGUCAUCCUAUGUGAUUCAUAUACCAGUGAGUGAAAUCCUGGGUCGAAGGGCAUAUGCGUCUUUAUGCAUCUUCACCUUUAAAUAUUGUCCGCUUGGUCUCUGAAGUGCUGUACCAAGUCACACUUACUUCAGCAGGGUAGGAGAGUUCCCAUUUCUCCGUAUGACCACCAACAUUUGAAGCUGUCAGACUUUAAUUUCCCAAUCUGAUGGAUUUGAAAUGGUACCUCGUUAUGAUUUUGUUUGCAUUUUUCUGAUUAACAAUGAGGUUGAGCAUCUUUUCAUGCAUAUAUUAGCCAUUCUGGUGUCUUAUUCUGUGAUUUACCUGUUUAUUUUUUACUCAUUUUUCUAUUGAGUUUUUUAAAUUAUUGACUUAUUAGCUAUUUAUAUAGUCUGGAUUUGAAUCCUUUUUCAGUUAUGUAUUUUUGCAAAUGUUUCCCCCAGUCUGCAGUUUGUCUUUUCACCUUUUUUUUUUUUGAUUAUUUUAAAUGUUUUUUACAUUGUAGUAAAAUACAUAUAACAUAAUAUUUACCAUUUUAAUCUUUAAAAUGUAUAGCUCAGUAUCUUUUUUUUUUCCUUUCUCCUGUAGAUAGUUCUUUUUUUUUUUUUCUUAUGUUAAUCCCCAUACAUUACAUCAUUAGUUUUAGAUGUAGUGUUCCAUGAUUCAUUGUUUGUGCAUAACACCCAGUGCUCCAUGCAGAACGUGCCCUCCUCAAUACCCACCACCAGGCCAACCCGUCCUCCCACCCCCUCCCCCCCAGUCUUCUCACCUUUUUAAUGAUGUCUUUUGAUACUCAGGCAUUUUUAAUUUUAAUGAUGUUGACUUUAUCAGCUUUUUUCUAUAUAGGUUGUGUUUUUUUUUUUAAGAUUUUAUUUAUUUAUUUGACAGAGAGAGACAGCGAGAGAGGGAACACAAGCAGGGGGAGUGGGAAAGGGAGAAGCAGGCUCUCCGCCGAGCAGGGUGCCCAAUACGGGGCUCUAUCCCAGGACCCUGGGAUCACAACCCAAGCCAAAGGCAGAGACCCAACCAACUGAGCCACGCAGGGGCCCCAAGAGUUCCAAUUUUAUUCUUUUCUCUAUGGAUAACCAAUUACUCAUCACCAUUUUUUUAACUGUCUUUUCUCCACUGAUCUGCAAAGCCACUCUGUCAUUUAUAUCUGCUGUCCAUCGAUGGCUGUGUUUCUGGGCUCUAUUCUGUUCCAGUGGUCUCAUCUCUGCCCCAGUUCCAAUGCCACAGUCUUAACGACCACACGUUAUAAGUCUUGUGUGCUAUGGUGAGUCUGCCAUCCUCUGUUGCUUUUUCAUGUGUGUUUUACCUGUUAUUUGUACCCUUCCAUUCCCAUUUUAGAAUCAGCUUAUCCCGUUUCCAAAGAAACAUGUCCAACAUUUCUACUGGAAUUCAAUAAAAUCCACAUGUUCCUAUGGAGAAUUGACCUCUUUAUCAUAUUAACUUUUUCUGCCCAUGUUCAUAAUAUGUUUUCCUGUUUAUUUAAUUCAUCUUUAAGAUAUUUCUAUCAUUUUUUAUAAUUUUCUUCAUAAGGUUUUAAAUACCUUUUGUAGAUUUAUUGCAAAGUAUUUUAUAAUUUUUUAUUAGAAUCCUUUUAAAUUUUAUUUUCUAUGGAAUUCAAUUUUUUCUAGAUGUGUUGAGGUAUACUUUCUUUUUUAAUGUUGUAAAUGACAUCUUUUUAAAAUUAUAUUUUCCAACUCUUUACAUCUAAACCAUAGUAAAACAAUAAAACUGCCUUGCUAGACUCUCAUAUUUAUUCUAAUAAUCUGUAAAUUAUCUUGGCUUUUUCUAUGUAAACAAUCAUAUAACCUGUGAAUGGUUAUAUGGAAGUGAUAUGCAAUAGACUGAAUAGUGAGCCCCCAAAGCUGUCCACAUCCCAACCCCCAAAACCUGUGAACAUACUACCUUACAUGACAAAAUGGCCUUUGUAAAUGUGACUAAAUUAAGGGUCUUGAGAUGGGAGAGUUGCUUGGCAGAAGGAAAGUGAAGGCUAUGUGAUGACAAUACUGGAGAGAGACCAUGUCAUGGCGGAAACAAAUUUUGCAGUGACGCACUUUGAGGAUGGAGGAAGAGGCCCCUGGCCAAAAAAUGUGGACAGUGCCUAGAAGCUGAAGAAAACAAGGAAACAGAUUCUCUAGAGCCUUCAGGGGGAACACUGCCCUGCUGACACCUUGAUUUUAACCCCCUAAGACUAAUUUCAGACUUCCAGACUGCAGGAGAAUAAAUUUGUGUUGUUUUUAAGCCUCUAUGUUUGUGGCGAUUUGUUAUGGCAGCAA